CCCUGAGGGGGCGGCGGCGGCGGCGGCCGCCAGGGGCUCCCGUUGGGGGACAGGGAGGGUGAGAGACGGAGCUCCUGCGAAGGGACGGCGGCGAGCGCCCACCCUGUGAGGCGGCCCCCGGAGCACGGCGGCCCCGAGGCCCGCCAGAGCCGGCACCGCGCUGCGGCUCCCCCCGCACGGAGCUUCGCAGCGUCCUGCAGGCUCGGGCAGAGCCGGUGCUUGGAGACACGAGUGUCCCGCGGAAAUCACCCGAGCCCAGCUCUGCCCGCGCGUUUGCUUGUAAUAGCUGCCUAGCAGUAAAGCUGUCCUCGAAAAACUCUUUGGUCACGUAAGUGAGGAGAAGAUGAGGAGAAAGAGCUCGUCUGUUGGGCAGCCGGGUCUAACAGCAGCCGGCAAAAGAAAAUGUCAGUAAAGCCUGAGCCAGGCAGGGGGAGUUGGCAGCGUGGCUGUUUGACAUUCGAAGCCCCGCGAGGAAAUAACGUGCCCUCCUUCUUGGGUGGGGAGAAAAAGCCAGGCAUGUAUUUCAGGAGGCCCUGUGGGUCCGAUAGGCGCAGCUGAGGUACGGUGGGAGUCCAAAUGUUUCGGCAGGUAGGGAUGCCAGCAGCCGGGGGACGCAGCAGGCAGGAACAGGGCUUGUGGUGUGGUGAGCUGGGGACUGGAAAGGCUCAAGCUGUGAUGGCCCUUGAGAAGAGGGAAGCUUUCAGAGAAAGAGCGCGGAAUGCAGUUUGAGUGGAGAGCGCUGACCUUGUUCCCCUUUUCCCUCUCAUUGCAGUAAUGGGACCCUUGCUCCUUUUUGAUCACUCAGGUGGGAGAAAGAGUCACGCUGGGGGAUGGGAUCAGACUUUUUUUUUCAUAUACAUAUUUUCAUUUUUUUGUAUACAAUCUCAAUGGGGAUGGAGAAAAAAACAGCAACAAGGAGAAUCCUUCUGAAGGACAGCGAGGUUGAGUCCCAGCCCCCUCUGUGCUUUUGCAGUUUAUUUUUGUUUGUAAGAAAGUGAAGGUGCUCCCCGAGCUGGGUGGUGACAUAGCCAGGGAGGCCAAACAGCAAAGCUCAGUGCAAAGGGAUCCACUUGAGCUACCAACUCUGAGUCAUGCAGCUGCUAUUAAUACACCUCGCCCUCUGGCUGUCUGAUAAAUAAAGAAAGGUUGGGGGAAGAACAAAAAGGAAUUUUCAAUUAAAGCUGCUUCAAAAAGAAUAAUAAGAACAUUUUAGGAUGAAUUGGAGGUGAGGAGAAGGGGAAGAAGAGGAGAGUAGCCUGGCAAACAGCAAGGAAUAAUCUCCGAGAAUCUGUGGGAGCCUCACUGACUAAAUUUUUUUAAAUUUGUUUGGACAAAAUUUAAAGAACAUUCUGAUAAACUAGAUGACUACAUAAUACAAACUAUGAUGAAAUUGAAUUAUAUAAGCUUGAGUUUAAUUGCUGUUUCUAAAGGCAUUUAAUGAGUUUAAUCUGUGAUGAUUUUAUGCAUUUUAUUGUGUAUUUCAAACUGGCAUUUCUCUUGCAGUCAUCACCGCAGAACCUGAACAUCUCAGUCUAUUAAAGUGUACCUGCAAAGGCAUAAAGCAUUAGUGAAGACCCACUUGUGUGUUGGACUCUACUUUUAUGAAAGCUAAAUGUACAAUCCAAGGGGCAUUUACUGGACAAGCAUUUUGGAAAGGAGAACUAAUAAAAAAAAAAUCACCUUGAGGAAUUUCUGAAUUUUUUGGCAUCUUAAAUGUUGACUGGUGAACAGAGAUUGAAAGGAUGGCACAUAAGGACAGAUUUUAUACUUCAGAUGCUGCUGAAGUUGAAAUUACAAAAUAGAUGAAGAGGAGAGUUACUCUGGUUGCCCUGCUGCUUGCUCAUCAUCUUCUAUAUGGAGUUUCUUCUACAUGAAGCCAGUCAAAACCACAAAGGCUUUGCAUGAAAAUGGAGGUUUGAUAGCUUGAAGAUCUGCCCUUUCUUGCUUCUUUACAUCAUUUCCUAUCAUGUAAGUACAGUUGAGAAUUUUUUUCCUCAUUGCUUCAGCUGAGCCCUGCAAACUUCAUUUCUGUUGUCAACCUACAAAAGACUGGGGGAAUUUCCUCAGUGUUGGUGUAAAGGGAACACAAUGGCAAAUGAAGUUUGCAGAAGGCAGAGAAUGUAACAAAUUAAUCUUGCACAUUAUAUGUUGACAAUAUUGUUUCCAGAAGACAGAGCUGUCAGUGUAGACAGUACAGUAUGUGGCUGUGAUUAACAAAAUGUUUAAGAUUCAUAUAUGUAAGAUCAUACAACCUCAGAUGAAAUCUGUGUACAGCUCUGAUUGUUGCAGCCUAAAAGACUACAGAAUUAGGAGAUGUUUGGAGACACUGAAGGGGCACAAAAAAAUGCCCUCUAACUGAAUUAGAGCUUUUUGCCUAAGAAAUGAAAUAAAUAAGAAGAGAUUCAAAUAUGCAAGCCUGAGGCUUAGGGAAAAAAAAAACAGCAGCCCUUUCCUGAGCACUGUAGAGGAAUGGAAAACCAAGAGGGGGUGAGCGCUCCAUUGGCAUCUUGUGGAUAGAAAAGGAGUUGAACAGAAACAGGCAGGCUUGAAACCUUCUGUUGGAAGUUUCUGCUUUGUUGUAUUUCUGUUAACAAGUCAGCCACUGAGAAAAAGCAUGGUAUAAAUUUGAAACAGUGAUGUAAUUACAGUAAUGUGUGAAAAGCCUGGGCAAACUAACUCAGUGUAAAUGUGCUCAGGGCUAGCAGUCACCCUAAUCUAAAACCUCCCUUUCAGCCUGGGGUUGCAGCAGCUUCUAGAAGUGGAAUGGAAAGCUCUGUAAAAACCAAUCUUCCUUGGGCAACAAGGUUUAUUUCUGUCUUUAUAUGUAAUCUCCUAUGAAAAAGCACAAAAUCACUAACGAGUAACUAAUGAAAAGAAACAGCCAGCAGGAUGGUCAGUACGAAAGGAUACCAGGUGACUCGGAGCAACUAACCCAAAUUACAUGUUGACACUUCAGCAUGCAACAGCCUAAACUGAGGCAGGUGGUCAAUCCACUGGACUUGACACUAAGUAGCAGUGAAUAAAGUACUACCUAAGGAGGUAAGUAGCUUUCACCUGCCCUAAGAAAUCAGAGGACAAGUCUAAAUUAAAACUACUGUCUUUUAGGGAAAGUGUAGUUGCUGUCCCAUUUCCCUUCCUUUACUUUCCUUCUUUCUAAGUUCUGUUUUGUUAAGCUGUUUGUAAAUGGGAAGUACAGUAUUAUGUAGGUCACUUUUUAGUAAAUAUUCCCUAGAAACACUGGGUCAAGAUCUAGCAAAAGGCUUGCAAACAUAAAAAUAGAAUAGAGAAUGUUGUUUGUGAGCUUUCAUUUUCUUAGUCUUGUAGUACAAGAGGAGGCAGACUGUGUAGCUGACAACUCGUAUAUUUGAAACCGAGUGUUGUCUUUUCAUCAAAGAACAAAAUAGACUGUGAAACUCACUGUUCCAGGAUCUUAUUGAAGUCAAAACGCACAGCAAGAGUCUAAGAGGAAGGGCAAUAUUCCCUUGUCCCGAAUUACUGUAUUUCUGGAUAUUCCUGUUACUUAUAUAAGAGGUAUUAAAAGAAAAAAAAAAAAACCAGCUUGAAACACAAAGUUCAAACAAGUCAGUAAUUACGAUGAAAUCUCCAUCACCCCAAUUCUGUCGAAAAUGUGUUUGGGUUUGUUUUGGUUUUGCAUCUUCUCAGAAGCAUUGGGAAUUGACAACAGUUAGAGAUACACAACUGGGCUAAAUGAACAUAAUGCAGUGUGGCAAGUUAUAUGCUCCAGUGAGUUCCACAUUUUCUUAGAAAUAAAACUAGGUUUAGCCCACAGAGAGAGCAUGUCAGUGAUCAAACUAUACAUGCCUUGAGGAAAAAAAGGGGAGGAAUCUCUAAGGUUUAAUUCUGUAAAGCAAAGUUUCAAAGAGACUACUGAAGAGCAAGUAAUUGCUCGAAACUCCCUCUUUCUGAAAGGUCAAUUUUUAGUUCCCUUUAGGAGAAUGUAAGAAAUACAUGUCACACAACUGUUCAGAAAAUCCUUCAUUACUGUAGGAAGUCAGUUCUACGCAACUUAGGCUUUGGGGAAAUUCAUUUAUGCAGAGGUCCAUUUCAGGUGUUACUGUACAACUACUGGGGCUCAGAAAACCUUGUUCACAAAUGCAACAGACCAUGAAAAUGGUGAGUUAGAUUCCUGUUUAUAGCUCUGCUUAGCAAUUAAAUUUCUAACUUAAAAUGCAAUCACCAACUGUUGAGAUCCUCAAAAGUGCUACCAUUCCCUGUGGAAGGGUCUGUCACGGUUCCACCCAAGAUUCUUUAAAGUUCACUGUAUUUGCAAAGGCUCGUUUUGAUAUUUAUUCUCCCGCACAUACAAAAUCUGAUGGCAGUAGUCCUACUAUACAACUCUGUAUGGAAGAAGAGAAUACAGCCCUUAGUGUAACCUGCUUAUCCUUCAAUAGUAGCAUAGUCACACUAUUACUGCUAAUAGUAGCAGAGCAGAAUACAACAUUUUUGCUUACGUGUCUUUUUCAUUAGUAGUUUUAUAACACUGAAACACCACAUCCUGGAAAAUACAGCAAGGGAGGCUGUAUUGUUAAAGUGGUUUUACAAGCGAAAUGAAGAUACAUCUGAAGUCUGCCUAGGGGCUUUUAAUCCAGAUAUUGUGAGUAAAACCAGAAGCUGCAUUGUCACCUGCACUGAGACGUAGGCGCAUUCUGUGUUCGCUUCUUCAUCUUGCCACAUAAGAACUGCUGCUGAAAUUGCUUCAGCAAGACAAGAGCCUUCAGAGCAAUGCUAUAUAGAAGGUUCAGGCCUUCUUCAAGAUGUUAGUAUAACUAGAUGUCAUUUGCUUCUCAUCACAUUUUCAAAAUCCCUGGAAGAGAUUUUUAAUUGCUAAUGUUUUUCAUCAGUUUAAGAUACUCAACCUGCUCAUCUGUAUCUUAAUAUAUUCAGAAAUCAGUUACAAAAAUAACUGUAGUACCUAACAUAACCUAUUACUCAGAGGCUCACUACAUUCUAUUGCAGUAAGUUAAAAUACAGAGUAAAGUUAGUCUCACAAGACUUAGGAGUCUCAUUAGUAGUCCUGAUCAUUUUAGUCAAAGAACUGCUCAUAUGCAUUUUAGUUUGCAGAACUGGCGAUCUAAAUUUUUCCAGAUUCAGUGAAAUCUGAACCACUGGACUGGUAUUUUUCCUACACAGUAGGCAAAGCCGCUAACAAAUCUGUAGGACAAGAAAGAUAAUUCUGCAAGUCCAGCAAAGAUGGAUUACAAGAUACUGUUUACUCCAAAUUAAGCUGGGACCAUUAUACUUCUUUACACAAGGUGUCAGAACUCUAGCAAAAAUCUGGGAGGAGAACACAGGAUUUCUCCCAGAUUUUUUUUUCUUGUGAAGCAGAGGAAGAUGCACUUGAGACAUUGAUACUGCAGAGAAGGAUGUGGGUAAUUCUGGUUUCAUAUUUGGUCUGAGUGGGUGUAUCUCAGCUGCCCUUUGAGGGGUGCUCCACACUCUUGCUCUAGAAUAGAUGCACUCUGUCAGGCAUAAACCCAGCUGUGCAACAUCAAGACACCUGCUAGCACAUGGGGAUCUGAAAGCAAGCAAGUACACCUCAGAGGCUGGUUCACAGUACGUAGGGCUCUGUUCUGGGCACCACACUGCAUCAGUAUAGAGACAGGAUGCCCAUGGGCUGCCUGUGAGCAUUUCUGCAGGUGUCACACGGGCUGCUUGAGAGGCUGACAUCUGCAUGAGGAACAGGCAUACCUUGACACAGGUUGUGCUCCGGUGUAGAGGGGGUGCUGUUAUAACUGCUAACUUCUGUUGUACUUCUAUCAAAAUGUAAUACACUCAAAUAAAAGCAUGGAAC